rnacentral:rRNA from 1 species
GAUGAACGCUGGCGGCGUGCUUAACACAUGCAAGUCGAACGGGAUCCAUCAGGCUUUGCUUGGUGGUGAGAGUGGCGAACGGGUGAGUAAUGCGUGACCGACCUGCCCCAUACACCGGAAUAGCUCCUGGAAACGGGUGGUAAUGCCGGAUGCUCCGACUCCUCGCAUGGGGUGUCGGGAAAGAUUUCAUCGGUAUGGGAUGGGGUCGCGUCCUAUCAGGUAGUCGGCGGGGUAACGGCCCACCGAGCCUACGACGGGUAGCCGGCCUGAGAGGGCGACCGGCCACAUUGGGACUGAGAUACGGCCCAGACUCCUACGGGAGGAAGGAGUGGGGAAUAUUGCACAAUGGGCGCAAGCCUGAUGCAGCGACGCAGCGUGCGGGAUGACGGCCUUCGGGUUGUAAACCGCUUUUGAUCGGGAGCAAGCCUUCGGGUGAGUGUACCUUUCGAAUAAGCACCGGCUAACUACGUGCCAGCAGCCGCCGUAA